rnacentral:rRNA from 1 species
AUUGAACGCUGGCGGCAUGCUUUACACAUGCAAGUCGAACGGUAACAGGUUAAGCUGACGAGUGGCGAACGGGUGAGUAAUGCAUCGGAACGUGCCCGAUCGUGGGGGAUAACGCAGCGAAAGCUGCGCUAAUACCGCAUACGAUCUGAGGAUGAAAGCGGGGGACCGUAAGGCCUCGCGCGAUCGGAGCGGCCGAUGUCAGAUUAGGUAGUUGGUGGGGUAAAGGCCCACCAAGCCGACGAUCCGUAGCUGGUCUGAGAGGACGACCAGCCACACUGGGACUGAGACACGGCCCAGACUCCUGCGGGAGGCAGAAGUGGGGAAUUUUGGACAAUGGGCGAAAGCCUGAUCCAGCAAUGCCGCGUGCAGGAAGAAGGCCUUCGGGUUGUAAACUGCUUUUGUACGGAGCGAAAAGGUCCUUUCUAAUACAAGGGGCUCAUGACGGUACCGUAAGAAUAAGCACCGGCUAACUACGUGCCAGCCGCCGCCGUAAAAC